UUGGAGGGCAAGUCUGGUGCCAGCAGCCGCGGUAAUUCCAGCUCCAAUAGCGUAUAUUAAAGUUGUUGCAGUUAAAAAGCUCGUAGUUGAAUUUCGGGAUCAGUACGUUGGUCGUGCCUUAGGUACGUACUGGUGUUACUGGUUCCUACCUUCUGACGAACCAUCAUGUCAUUCAUUUGGUGUGGCGGGGAAUCAGGACUGUUACUUUGAAAAAAUUAGAGUGUUUAAAGCAGGCUCGCGCUUGAAUACAUUAGCAUGGAAUAAUGAAAUAGGACGUUGAUCCUAUUUUGUUGGUUUCUAGGAUUGACGUAAUGAUUAAUAGGGAUAGUUGGGGGCAUUAGUAUUCAAUUGUCAGAGGUGAAAUUCUUGGAUUUAUUGAAGACUAACUACUGCGAAAGCAUUUGCCAAGGAUGUUUUCAUUAAUCAAGAACGAAAGUUAGGGGAUCGAAGACGAUCAGAUACCGUCGUAGUCUUAACCAUAAACUAUGCCGACUAGGGAUCGGAUGAUGUUAUUUUUAAUGACUUAUUCGGCGCCUUACGGGAAAC
rnacentral:rRNA from 1 species